ensembl:lncRNA
AUGCCUCUAUUUCAGGGGAAUUGGAGGGGGAAGAGUUUGGGGUUCAGGUCUUUGCUGUCUAACCCCACUGCAGUGGAUGGGUGCAGAGAGACCCUGUGUAAUGCUGUAUCAGACAAUGAUCCUUGGUUUAAAAAAAUCAGCCUCUGUGACACUCAGCUGUCUUCCUUGAUGCCAAAGAGGUCGCAACAGCGUUUUUUUUUUUUUUUUUUUNNNNNNNNNNNNNNNNNNNNNNNNNNNNNNNNNNNNNNNNNNNNNNNNNNNNNNNNNNNNNNNNNNNNNNNNNNNACACUGUUGCUUCCACUCUGCUGUAAAAAUUUACAUGCAGAUAAAUCUGUCGUUAAAAUUCAUGUACACUGUGUCCAAGGCAUAAUACUAAAUAAUAGAUGUAAUCCCUUUGAACUAUACAGUCAUAUCAGAGUUGACGAUAAAUUACUUGGGAGUAAGCAUAUUGGAGUGAAUUUAAGUCCACUUCAUAAACUCACUGCAAAUGAAACAUUAAUUAUUCUGUGAGCAAGUCUGGCAAAAACUCAGCGUGGCGUGUCAGUAUUUCCAGAAGCCUAAACUACUGGCAGAGCUGAGGCCACUUCCCUGCCGUUUAAGUUCACUGCCAAAAAAAAAGGUAAAGACCCUUAACGCAGCGCCCACGUGCCAGCGACACUGUGCUGCGAUCCAACAGCUAGAACUAACACCGAGCAGCACUUGACCGCUGGGUUUGAAUUCCCAGCUUUUGGGUGGUGUUUGGGCCAUCCAAACAUGUGUGGUAUGUUCUUGGCCUUUCUGAAGGCCACGGCAGUGCUGGUGAUAAAUYCAGGGUUUUACCCAGUUCCUCAGAAAGCUGGCGUUCUUCCGCAGGACACCGAACACCUUCGCCUGCGUCCGUGCAAGAGCUUAAYGCUACCGAUGAGAACCAACGAUGCCCUCCCCGCUAAUUAAUGGGUGUUCUAGGACUGCCCUAGCUGGCGGCUGCACUGCUAAUUAUAGUUAAUACUUCUCAUUGGGCCUUUUUUUCCUUGAAUUAGUCUGGCUACUUCUUGAAUCCAAGAACAUUUUUUAGCAUCUGAGAUAUUAUGUGGUCAAAUUACACAUCAUGUGAAACACUGCUUCCUUUCUUUUGGUCCCUGAUACCUCUAAGCGCUUGAUAAUAUUGUUUGUAAUCCCUUAGUUAUUGUGUAACAGUAAUUGUUGCCUGUUUACCAGCUCCAUACCAUUCCUGAUGAGUGACACUGCCAGCCUAUCCGUCUCCCCACCUCUCUGUUUUCCAAGAUGAAGUAUUCCGGUUGCUUUUAAUCUCUUCUUGAACAGAAGCCAYCCCAUCAUCCUUGUUGCUUUUAUGUAUCUUUUUAAUUUUUUACUAUAUCCUUUCAUCUAUCCAUCCUGAGAUGAGGUGACUGGCGUUGCACACGCUGUUCUAGGUGUGACGGCACCGAGGGUUUCCGUGGGGCUUGCCUAGUAAUAGAGAACUGGUACUUUCUGGGACAGUUCAUUUUUGUGUACUGAUUCUGAACUGGGAAAUUAUAUCUGGUAGCAUCUUCUCCUUUUCUCAGAGUGUGGGGGCAUAAGCACCGUGGUUAGGGUGGCCUAAGUAAUUUUUCCUACGUAAAACAGCACUUUCUCUAAUUAGUUUUCAUACUUUUCUACCAGUGGAGAUGGAGGCACCUUAGGUGUCAACCAAAAAGAGGCAUACGAAAAACCCUAAUGAUGAGCAAAACAGAUAUGGAAGAGGGAAUGAAUAUGUACAGCACCAUUUAAUGCAGAAYGAAAUUUCGUGUUGCUUAGUGAUGCUUCCCUAGUGUAUCCUUCUGACAUAAAUUCUGUCAUUUGAUUUCUAAAUAAUUUACGGGUCACUGACACAUAUAUAAUGUCUCCAGAUUCUUACAUACUGUGCUUCAGAAAUUCCAAGUGUCAAAGAUGUUAGGCUAUAUUGUGAUUUAGACAUGCAGGGAAUUUGUGCGUGUAAUUUACAUUAAGGAACGGGAAAUCUACAUGAAUAAACCAUCUUCUCAUGGGGAAAAGAAUGUUCUU